rnacentral:rRNA from 1 species
AUUGAACGCUGGCGGCAGGCUUAACACAUGCAAGUCGAGCGGAGCGAAGGUGCUUGCACCUUAGCUUAGCGGCGGACGGGUGAGUAAUGCUUAGGAAUCUGCCUAUUAGUGGGGGACAACGUUUCGAAAGGAACGCUAAUACCGCAUACGUCCUACGGGAGAAAGCAGGGGAUCUUCGGACCUUGUGCUAAUAGAUGAGCCUAAGUCGGAUUAGCUAGUUGGUGGGGUAAAGGCCUACCAGGGCGACGAUCUGUAGCGGUUCGGAGAGGAUGAUCCGCCACACUGGGACUGAGACACGGCCCAGACUCCUACGGGAGGCAGCAGUGGGGAAUAUUGGACAAUGGGCGAAAGCCUGAUCCAGCCAUGCCGCGUGUGUGAAGAAGGCCUUUUGGUUGUAAAGCACUUUAAGCGAGGAGGAGGAGCUUCAGGUUAAUACCCUGGAUGCUUGGACGUUACUCGCAGAAUAAGCACCGGCUAACUCUGUGCCAGCCGCCGCGGUAACAC